rnacentral:rRNA from 1 species
GACGAACGCUGGCGGCGUGCCUAAUACAUGCAAGUAGAACGCACAGUUUAUACCGUAGCUUGCUACACCAUAGACUGUGAGUUGCGAACGGGUGAGUAACGCGUAGGUAACCUGCCUGGUAGCGGGGGAUAACUAUUGGAAACGAUAGCUAAUACCGCAUAAUAUUAAUUAUUGCAUGAUAAUUAAUUGAAAGGUGCAAUUGCACCACUACCAGAUGGACCUUCGUUGUAUUAGCUAGUAGGUGAGGUAACGGCUCACCUAGGCGACGAUACAUAGCCGGCCGGGGAGGGGGAUGGGCCACACUGGGACUGAGACACGGCCCAGACUCCUACGGGAGGCAGCAGUAGGGAAUCUUCGGCAAUGGACGAAAGUCUGACCGAGCAACGCCGCGUGAGUGAAGAAGGUUUUCGGAUCGUAAAGCUCUGUUGUAAGAGAAGAACGGGUGUGAGAGUGGAAAGUUCACACUGUGACGGUAUCUUACCAGAAAGGGACGGCUAACUACGUG